GGGGACAGCAGAGCUCGGUGGGGACAGGCUCACACCUUGAGCCAGGGUUAGUCCCGGCGUGCUCUUAUCCAGCACUAUUCCCCUUCCUCAGGCUCUGGGUGCCGGAGCCAGAGGGAAGAGCAGCCGAGCUGCCAGUGCUGCAGCUCUGCCACGUGUCUGCUGCCACUCUCGCCCUGGGUGGUGCCAGGCUCCAGCUGGACCCAGGGCGAGAGCUGUGCCAACCCGGCUGCGUCCCAGGCCUUGCAUGGAUUGGGAAUUAAGACAAAGAUUAGGGCUGGAUCCAGCUCUUCCAUCGCACCGGGAACAGAGAUGGGUGAGCUGUGCGGUGGGUCCACGAAUCCUGGGUGGUGACAGUGCCUGGUGCCCCCCAGCAGCCCCUAAAGAAACCCGUCCCUCCCCAAAAACCUUCAGAGCCUCACACGUUUCCCCUGGCGGUGUCAGCCAGACUUCCUGUUCGCAACCUUCGCCGGCACGUCGGAAGGGGGAAGCUCGCUGGGGGUGUUACCAAGAGCCUGCGGGAGGAGGAACGCGGAGAUUUUCUUGUUCUGCGCUGCUGCGGCCAGAUCCUGCCCCAGCUCCCCGGGAAUGCCCCAACUGUGAGGCAGAGCCUGGCGCUGCCAGGGCUGCUGGAGGACGGCUGGAGCUGGAGGGAUGGCCGAGGGUGGCCAGGCAGGGGUCCCAGCUGAGGGGGGGCCGAGGGGUGCCCCUGAGAGCCCCCAGGAUGUGGCUGAGCCCAGGGAGGAUGUGGGGACCGAGGGCCUGGCAGCCACCCCAAGCCCAGGCAGCGUGGAAGACACGUAUGAGCUGCUGGAGAAGCUGGGCAGGUGAGCAGGAAUCCAGGCAGGUGAGUGGGAUCUGGGCAGGCGAGUGGGACCCACCACAGGUGAGCAGGCUGCAGGCAGGUGAACACAGGGCAGGCAGGGAGCCGGGCAGAUUCAGUGGGGUACAGGUGGGGACCCCAUCUCCACCACAGCCCCAGGGGUGCCCAGAUUCCUGGGUUUUCCCCCCCGGCGUGGGGUCAGCCCGGCUGUGCCCCAGCCCAGCUCUUGCUGCAGCGGCCACUUUGGCCUGGUGA
rnacentral:lncRNA from 1 species